GGAGAGAUGGCUGAGCUGGUCUAAGGCGCACGACUGGAAAUCGUGUUAUGCAUAACCGCAUACGAGGGUUCGAAUCCCUCUCUCUCCGCCA
rnacentral:tRNA from 1 species